rnacentral:tRNA from 1 species
GUCCUCAUAGCUUAAAACCCAAAGCGUAGCACUGAAGAUGCUAAGAUGGCCACUAUCACGUCCCCUGAGGACA